AACGGGUUGCUGCUAAUGCUAAUGCCGCUUAGUGAAAAUACUGUAAUGUGACAGAAACAGAAUGGUUGACAACUCUGCCUUUGCUUUAAAUUUACGAUUCUUGUUCCCGCGCGAAAGAAAUGCAUGCAGUGUGGUGCAGAGGCAGGCAUAAAAUAGAAGAGAAGGAUCGAAAAUGAAAAUUGGUCUCACGCCAGUUGGGAUAUAGAAUAGAAAGUCCCAUUCCAAAGAGGAUACACACACAAACACGCACGUCCACACAAAAUAUAUUCGCUUACCUGAAAGCAGGGCUAAAGAACGAGCAGCACACACACGCACGCACGCACACACAACACACACACACACGCACACAGUAACUCACGCACACAAACGAACACUUCGACUUUAUUGGUUCCAGGUAGCAUGUCGCUUCGCACAGUUGACGCUCAUCCUGCAAGACGCACGCAACGCAGGACCGUAGCCAGGAUCGACAAAAUGGAACCCCAAAUACUGCCAGCAA
rnacentral:misc_RNA from 1 species